GAAGUCCGCUAGCAACAACAGAAGCCUUCUACGUCUCGGAAAACGGGAUAAAAAUGAUCAUCGAAGUCAUUCAGUGUUGGAUUUAUCAUCACGGACGUGUUGUACAGAGUCUACGAAAAGUCACGGAAGGUCCAGGCCGCGCAACAACUCUUCUGAAAGGGCCACGAUCGCACGGAAGCCCUGAUGCAAGUGUUAGCUUCCCGUCAAAACAAACCCAGGGAGCGGAUUCCGUUAGUUGCUGAAUCCUCCAGCAGAGGGGAGUUGGUGGAGACCAAAACAAGGCUGAAAACGGUAAAUAAUGCAGUUGCAGGCUCUAAAAUAAGAUGAUGUCGUUGUAAAUGUAAAUAGGCUGCUGUUUGCCGACACAUUUGCCACCUCCGUUUGGCCAGGUUUGAGGACAACAUGACUUAAAUGAAGUCGAUUUGAAAAGUUGAAACACAGUGGAAACAUUUUCUGCUGAAGAGUGCUCCUUAUUAACAAGCUAAGCUCCGCAGUCCUAUUGCAGUGCUGGCGCUUGGGAACCCCUGAUAAAGACUGUGGUUUAUUUAUGAAAGUAUAAUGCCUUUGUGCAUUCAGCAGCUGUGGAAAUAAGGCCGUCCUAGAAAUACUUUAUCAGUGCAGUACAGUUUCUCUCAUGCAAAAAAAAAUAAUAAUAAUUUGGUCGGUGUGAACAAAAAAAAAGAUCCUGAAGCGCUGAUGUACAGAUUGCAGUAGAUUGUGUAAUCCUCUUCAAUGUGAUGUUUGAGAAACAUAUUCUGGCAAAGUGUGAAAACUGUAAAACUAAUUAUUUCACUUGAUGAGGCUUGCAUUAUGAAUGCGCCGCAAAACUUCUCUUUGCCCACCUCCUCUGAUUUGACUCAAAUGGCUUCAUGUUCCCUGAUGUUUUCCUUUAAUGUUCCUCUCUGAGCUGUAAUUUCAGGUGGGUUUAUCAUCAGAGCCGUGGCAGGCUGCCGUUGGUGCCCCUAUUUAAAAAGCUAUUUUCCGUGCACACUGUCACCACGGCUGUAGUUGUGACUGGUACACAAUGGAAGAGACCCUGCAAUUCCUCUGGGAGUCAGCAGGUCAGGGAGGACUACUUCUUUGUCCGUGCCAUCUCACCUCUCCUUUUCAAAAGCCUCUAAUGGACCCACAGGAGAUGCGAGGCUCGUUUCCACGGCGGAGGACCAUAAUUACAGCCCGCCACAAAAUCUAUGAUGCUCUGCCGCUUGAUUGUUUCUGUGUCAAUGGCAGCACACAACUGCACCACAGGAUACUUGUUGACUCGGCCCGCCUUUUUACGAGAAUCAAUGCUCACACGUUUAACCCCUGGGAGAGGAGUAAUCAUCGGGAUCCGAGAUGAAGAGAGAUGAAUUUCUGUAACUGCUCAUCCAUCGAGUGCUCGUUGGUCCAAAGCUCUUUGAAACGACUGGUCUGCUCCGCCAUAUUAGUUUGGUCAUCUAUCCCUAGACAGCUGUCUGCUGCAAUAGAGUAAUCCUCUGAGAAGCAAUGCAGCAGGAGAAGAAGUAGCUGAUAUUUUUCCACACCUACGUCAUGUUCUCUCGUGAUGCCUCAGGAAUAUUCUCAUGUUCUCUUCACAUUAGAGAAACAAUAUCUUUGGAAAAUGCAAAGCAAUGACACAAGACACUAAAAUCAAAAUAACAUCGACACAGUUGCUGAGAAUGACACCAUGUGAGAAAAUGUGCACGAGCAUUGUGAGAGCUUCUGUAUGAGAUGAUCUGAUUCUGGAUGAUACUUGGCGGCAACAUGUCUGCACUAUAAUUGACAUUGCUUUCCCUUGUUAGGCUGAAUAAUAAAUGCCAGACUAUGCAUAAUUCA